UACGUAGGGUGCAAGCGUUAAUCGGAAUUACUGGGCGUAAAGCGUGCGCAGGCGGUUAUGCAAGACAGAUGUGAAAUCCCCGGGCUCAACCUGGGAACUGCAUUUGUGACUGCAUGGCUAGAGUACGGUAGAGGGGGAUGGAAUUCCGCGUGUAGCAGUGAAAUGCGUAGAUAUCUGGAGGAACACCGGUGGCGAAGGCGGCAUCCUGGACCGAUACUGACGCUGAGGAGCGAAAGCCAGGGGAGCAAACGGG
rnacentral:rRNA from 1 species